AACGAACGCUGGCGGCAUGCCUAACACAUGCAAGUCGAACGAGACCUUCGGGUCUAGUGGCGCACGGGUGCGUAACGCGUGGGAAUCUGCCCUUGGGUUCGGAAUAACAGCGAGAAAUUGCUGCUAAUACCGGAUGAUGACGUAAGUCCAAAGAUUUAUCGCCCAAGGAUGAGCCCGCGUAGGAUUAGCUAGUUGGUGAGGUAAAGGCUCACCAAGGCGACGAUCCUUAGCUGGUCUGAGAGGAUGAUCAGCCACACUGGGACUGAGACACGGUCCAGACUCCUACGGGAGGCAGCAGUGGGGAAUAUUGGACAAUGGGCGAAAGCCUGAUCCAGCAAUGCCGCGUGAGUGAUGAAGGCCUUAGGGUUGUAAAGCUCUUUUACCCGAGAUGAUAAUGACAGUAUCGGGAGAAUAAGCUCCGGCUAACUCCGU
rnacentral:rRNA from 1 species